AUAUCCAGUAUUUAGCUGUAAAGGAGAGUAACAAGUACGUGAACUGCUUAGAGGUUAAACCCGAUGAACCUAAAUAAAAAGGACCGGAGAAAGUCAUUAUUAUGAGUAUAUUAUUUUAUAAUGUAUUAAUAGUGUGCAUUUUUUUCCAUGUAUAAAAUCAUUGUAAUCUGUUAAUACAAUUUAUAUAUUCUUUUAUAUAUUAUUUUUAUCAUAAAGAGUCUAGAUAAAUAGUUAGUUGUUUACAUAUAAAUUAAUUAAUUUAUUAAUUAAUUGAUGUAAGAUCGAUGAAUUUUGUACAUAUAUUUAACAGUAUUAAAAUAUAUAAUGCUUACAUAAUUUUUUAUGUUUUAUAUAUAAUAUGUACAAUGUUUUUGCAUUUAUAUUAUAACAAUGCUAUAGAUUAGCCGGUUAA
rnacentral:rRNA from 1 species